CGUCCACAUGACGUCAUCGGGCGCUUGCUUUAUAAAACCCUUUUGGGCUCGCACUCAUGUGCAAUAAGCUCAGAGUAGAUCUUCAGGUGCGCGUGUGACAGAGAAGAACCGAGGAACCUUCACCAUGAAUAAAGUUCUAAUGGCGUGUUUAGUGCUGGUGCUGAUUGUGCAAUUCGCAACGCAGGUCGAUUCUCAAAACACAACUGCAAACACAUCUGCAAACAGCACUACCCCAAAAAAUGGAGGCUUCAUGGUGCUGCACAGCAUCUUCAGCCUGGUCCUGCCUGCUGGCCUGCUCGCGUUUCUGCUCCAUGAUCUCCGCUGGUGAACCGCCGGCGUCGACAAAUGAAGGAUGGAGCCACGCCUGAAGAGCCUCACUUUCUAAAUCCUUGAGUCGAAAUGGAAAUGAUGCCAUGCUGUGAACCUACUGGAGAUUAAAUUAUUCUUGGUGGAGGACCUUAUUUCUUUUUCUUUUUUUAAGGAUCUAUAAACUGAAGCUCUUUUUGAAGUCUCUCGCGAGGCGUUCAGUCGGUUCCUAUGAUGCCCAGGAAAUGGUUUUUUGCGAUUGAGGCUGAUCAGGAAUCGACCCGUUCCCUUUUUCAUUAGUGAUUUUAAAUAAUAAAAAUGUCACUGUAAUUUUGUAUGAAUCUUUAAUUGUUCCAAUUGUAACUACAAUAAAUGGUUCCUCCACUGGUU